UUGGUGCUUCGGAGGAAAGUAGAUUGGAGGCUUUUCGUCUGUGAGGUGUCCCAUAAAAACAUUAAUGUUUGAUGAUGUAAGAUACGGUUCCCCAAAUGUCUUUUCUUUCUACAACACAGGGCCAGCGAAACACGGAUUACAUCCAGGGCUCAUUAGAUGCUUCAUUUGCAAGGGACAGAAUCUCAGCUCAAAUAAAUAGAGAUGACAAAGAUAGCACGCAGAGUUCUCAUGGACCCUGCACCAGUUUCCCCCGUGAUCAACCUCUUACCUUAGCGGGCUACACUUAUCAGAAUGAAUGAACAGAUCCCAGCCAGGAAACCACAUAACAUCAGGCAUCCUGUCUCCUGGGGAUCCUCUGGGCUGUGACAGCUUCUCAGACUUUCCUGGGUUUGAUGCCCUUGAGAGCUUCGAGGAGGACUGGACUUCUUUACUUUCUGAGACCGCAAGACGUUGCAGCUCAUCUUGUAUAUUUCCUGCCCUGGUCCUAGAAUCAGCCAUCUCUCCAAGGCACCCCGGUUCUUUUUACUGGAGAAUGGUUUUAAGAACCAGCAUCUGGUCCUGAGUGUGCUCAUUGCUGCUGGAGUUGCUGCAAGGCUCAGCUAUCCCUUACAGCUGACUGAGCAAGAAAAUAUAUGUGAACCUACUGAGCCAUGUGUAUACGCAUAUCUAUAAAUACUUCCACGUAGAACCUCGGUAUCUAUGUUAAGUCAAACGUGACCGUAUUGGUAUCUCCCGCUCGAGUCCAUUA